AGAACGUUCUGGCUUUGCCAGGACAAGUACAGUGGCGGACGGGUGCGUAUCGCGUAGAUAACCUGCCCUCAGGCGCGGGACAAUCACGGGAAACCGUGGCUAAUACCGCACGUCGUCUGGACCCCGCAUGGGGACCAGAUGAAAGCCUUCGGGCGCCUUUGGAUGGGUCUGCGUUGGAUUAGCUUGUUGGUGAGGUAACGGCUCACCAAGGCAACGAUCCAUAGCUGGUCUGAGAGGACGAUCAGCCACACUGGGACUGAGACACGGCCCAGACUCCUACGGGAGGCAGCAGUGGGGAAUCUUGCACAAUGGGGUCACCCCUGAUGCAGCCAUGCCGCGUGGAGGAAGACACCCCUAUGGGGCGUAAACUCCUUUUCUGAAUGAAGAAACCCCUGUAGCUUCAGGGCGCGACGGUAGUUCAGGAAUAAGCACCGGCUAACUCCGUGCCAGCAGCCGCGGUAAUACGGAGGGUGCAAGCGUUGUCCGGAAUCACUGGGUGUAAAGGGUGUGCAGGCGGGGCAGCAAGUCGGAUGUGAAACCCCAUGGCUUAACCAUGGAGGUGCAUUCGAAACUGUUGCUCUUGAGUCCCGGAGAGGCUGUCGGAAUUCGUGGUGUAGCGGUGAAAUGCGUAGAUAUCACGAGGAACACCA
rnacentral:rRNA from 1 species